AUUGAACGCUGGCGGCAUGCCUUACACAUGCAAGUCGAACGGUAACAGGCCGCAAGGUGCUGACGAGUGGCGAACGGGUGAGUAAUACAUCGGAACGUGCCCGAUCGUGGGGGAUAACGCAGCGAAAGCUGUGCUAAUACCGCAUACGAUCUACGGAUGAAAGCGGGGGAUCGCAAGACCUCGCGCGGACGGAGCGGCCGAUGGCAGAUUAGGUAGUUGGUGGGGUAAAGGCCUACCAAGCCGACGAUCUGUAGCUGGUCUGAGAGGUCGACCAGCCACACUGGGACUGAGACACGGCCCAGACUCCUACGGGAGGCAGCAGUGGGGAAUUUUGGACAAUGGGCGCAAGCCUGAUCCAGCCAUGCCGCGUGCAGGAUGAAGGCCUUCGGGUUGUAAACUGCUUUUGUACGGAACGAAAAGGUUUCUUUUAAUACAGGGAACUGAUGACGGUACCGUAAGAAUAAGCACCGGCUAACUACGUGCCAGCCGCCGCAGUAAAAC
rnacentral:rRNA from 1 species